UACGUAGGGGGCAAGCGUUGUCCGGAAUCAUUGGGCGUAAAGCGCGUGUAGGCGGUUCGGUAAGUCGGCUGUGAAAGUCCAGGGCUCAACCCUGGGAUGCCGGUCGAUACUGCCGGACUAGAGUUCGGAAGAGGCGAGUGGAAUUCCCGGUGUAGCGGUGAAAUGUGCAGAUAUCGGGAGGAACACCAAUGGCGAAGGCAGCUCGCUGGGACGUUACUGACGCUGAGACGCGAAAGCGUGGGGAGCAAACAGG
rnacentral:rRNA from 1 species